rnacentral:misc_RNA from 1 species
UAUGGAGGACGGCGCAGGAAGAGGUUUGGAAUGCCAGAAGAUUAUGGAUGGGAAGGCGAAUGAUGGGAAUGGCUCAGAGAAGGCUAUUCCUUCUUGUUGCUUUAAGGCUAGAGCUUCUGCACCUGAGCUUGAAGCAAAAUGCCAUUCUACUGUUGUUUCUGGGUGGUUCUCAGAAUCUCAUUCUUGCUCUGGCGAAGCUAGCAAAAGGGUCUACUUCAACAACCCAAUGUGGCCUGGAGAAGUACAUUCAUUGGAAGUCAAGAACAUUUUGUACGAGGGAAAGUCAGAGUACCAAGAGAUCUUGGUUUUUCAGUCAUCUACUUAUGGAAAAGUGCUUGUUCUUGAUGGCAUUGUCCAGUUGACUGAGAAAGAUGAGUGUGCCUACCAGGAGAUGAUAACUCAUCUUCCUCUUUGUUCGAUUCCAUCACCCG